AGAGCGAACGCUGGCGGCAGGCUUAACACAUGCAAGUCGAGCGGGCGUAGCAAUACGUCAGCGGCAGACGGGUGAGUAACGCGUGGGAACGUACCUUUGGUUCGGAACAACCCAGGGAAACUUGGGCUAAAUACCGGAUAAGCCCUUACGGGGAAAGAUUUAUCGCCGAAAGAUCGGCCCGCGUCUGAUUAGCUAGUUGGUGAGGUAAUGGCUCACCAAGGCGACGAUCAGUAGCUGGUCUGAGAGGAUGAUCAGCCACAUUGGGACUGAGACACGGCCCAAACUCCUACGGGAGGCAGCAGUGGGGAAUAUUGGACAAUGGGCGCAAGCCUGAUCCAGCCAUGCCGCGUGAGUGAUGAAGGCCCUAGGGUUGUAAAGCUCUUUUGUGCGGGAAGAUAAUGACGGUACCGCAAGAAUAAGCCCCGGCUAACUUCGCGCAGCAGCCGC
rnacentral:rRNA from 1 species